CCUACGGGUGGCAGCAGUGGGGAAUAUUGCGCAAUGGGCGAAAGCCUGACGCAGCGACGCCGCGUGAGGGAUGAAGGUCUUCGGAUCGUAAACCUCUGUCAGCAGGGAAGAACGGUCACUGUGCUAAUCAGCAGUGAAUUGACGGUACCUGCAAAGGAAGCACCGGCUAACUCCGUGCCAGCAGCCGCGGUAAUACGGAGGGUGCGAGCGUUACUCGGAAUUACUGGGCGUAAAGCGCUCGUAGGCGGUAUGUCAAGUCUAGGGUGAAAUCCCCGGGGUCAACGUUGGCAGUGCCUUGGAAGCUGGGAAACGGGAGUGGGUGAGAGGAUAGUGGAAGUCCAGGUGUAGGAGUGAAAUGCGUAGAUA
rnacentral:rRNA from 1 species